AAUAAAAAGUUCCUACGCUGUUAGGUGGAUGACUUGGCUUGAGAUGCUGAUGAAGGACGUGGCAAGCUGCGAUAAGCUCUGGCGAGCCGCAAGCGGGCGUUGAACCAGAGAUUUCCGAAUGGGACUUCCCAUCAGUGCACUUCGUGCAAAGCAACGCAGGGAAUUGAAGCGUCUGAGUACCUGCAGGAAGAGAAAUCAAUUGAGAUUCCGUUAGUAAAGGCGAUCGAAAGCGGAACAGAGCAAACUGAAUCCGCAUUGGAAACAAUGUGGAGAUGUGGUGUUGCAAGGCUAUCCAACUAAAGCCAUCGCCAGAUCAUUUUAAGUUCCCUGAAACGGGACGCCAUAGAGGGUGACAGCCCCGUAGAAGAAUUCUGGACUGGCCUAGGGUAGUUCUUGAGUAGGGCAUCUUGAAUAUGAUGUCUGAAACUAGGAGACAUUAACUUCUAACUCUAAAUACGUCUCAAGACCGAUAGCAAACUAGUACUGUGAAGGAAAGUUGAAAAGGACCCUUGGCAGGAUGUCAAAAGCACCUGAAACCUAACAGUUAUAGUUAGAUAGGGCUCUUAGGAGUUCUAUCGUUCGUUUCGAAUAACGAGCCAGGGAGUGUAUCUAUGUGGCGAGGAUAAUCCUUUUGGGAGCAUCCGUAGGGAAACCGAUAGCCCGCAGCUUGCAAGGGGCAAGGUGUGAAAGCGCCUUUAGUCACAUGGAUACGACCCGAAGCCGGUUGAUCUAUUCCUGGGCAGGGUGAAGCGAGGGUAAUACCUCGUGGAGGCCCGAAGAGGUUCUGUGAGCAAGCGUUCUUCUGACCUGGGAAUAGGGGUGAAAAGCCAAUCGAAGCCGGGGAUAGCUGGUUCCUACCGAAUUUGGCCGAAGUCAAGCCUCAGACGAGAUGGAUAUGAGGGUAGAGUUACUGAUCUUGGGUUUAGGGGGAGAAAUCCUUCGGCCCUUUGUCAAACUCCGAAUCUUGUAUCAUUGUAGACUCUGGGAGUGGGGGACGCGGGGUAAGCUUGCGUUCCGAGAGGGGAACAACCCCAACUCUAGUUAAGGUCCCAAAAUGUCAGUUAAGUGUUAACGGGUAAAAGGUGUCUCUGAUCGUAGACAGCUGGGAGGUUGGCUUAGAAGCAGCCACCCAUUAAAAAGUGCGUAACAGCUUACCAGUUGAGGUCGGAGGCCCUGAAAACGGACAGGGCUAAACUGAUUACCGAUACUAGAGGCCACCGUAAGGAUGGUAUUAGGUAGGCGCAUUGCGAGGGCAGAAGCAUUCUUGUGAAAGGAUGUGGACCUCGUAGUGAUGAGAAUCCUGGUAGUAGUAGGAGCAGAGCAAUGUGAGAAUCAUUGCCGCCGGAAGGGCAAGGGUUCCUUUGACAAUGCAAAUCAGUCAAGGGUUAGUCAGUCCUAACUGCAGUGCAUAAUGGUAUUGCAGGAAAGGGAAACAGGUUAAUAUUCCUGUACUGCUAAAGUAUAAGUGGCAACACAAGUUUGUUUUCUAACAUUUCGGGCUAGACUGACACAAUUCGUCGAUUGUGUUAAUAGGGGCAAAUCUGAGGAGUACUGUAAUGGUGAGAAUCAGAUUAAUCCCUAGAAUAGCAGGCCUUAAGGUCUGUUCAGUUGAUGCCUGGAGUCCCUGAAAAAGAAAACAAAAGAGAUCUUUGGUAUCUGUACCCAGAACCAGCACAGGUGCCCCUAGGUGAGAAGCCUAAGGCGUGAGGGAUUAAAUUAUCUGAGGGAAAUCGGCAAUUUGGCCCUGUACCUUCGGUAUAAGGGGUCCCUGGAUUUGUUUCCGCAUGGACGCGAAUUCAGGGUGCAAUGACUAGAGAGGCCCGACUGUUUAACAAAAACUUAGCUAACUGCUAGUCCGAAAGGAUGUGUACAGUUGGUGACGUCUGCUCAGUGCCGGUACUUUAAACCUUGGUCCAACAAGGCGAAGAGCCGGUAAACAGCGGAGGUAACCAUGACCUUCUUAAGGUAGCGUAAUACCUUGUCGUUUGAAUGACGACUUGCAUGAAUGGCGUAACGAGGUCUCUACUGUCCCCAGAUAGUGUCCCCCGAAAAUCCUUCCUGGUGCAAAGGCCAGGGCUCUCCAGUGGGACGCGAAGACCCCGUGAAACUUUACUGUAGUUUGUUGCUGUUAUGUGAAGUUGAUUGUUCAGAGUAGCAAGUAGCUGUUUGAGGUUUACGACGCCAGUCGUGAAUUUAGGCAUCAAUGAAACACUUGCCUUUUAGUUUUACAUAACUAACUUUCUUUUCGGAGAAAAGACACCAGCAGAUGGACAGUUUGGCUGGGGUGGCACCCUGCUGAAAAGAUAUCAGUAGGGCCCAAAGGUUGGCUCAGUCUGGUCAGAAAUCAGACGUUGAGUGUAAGAGCAUAAGCCAGCCUGAUUGGAUUUCUAAAUAGACGAAAUCCAAAGACGAAAGUCUGGUCUAGCGAUCUUCAAUACCUCCUUAAUGGGGGUUUGAAAUGACCGAAAAGUUACUCCGGGGAUAACAGAGUUGUCGCGCCCGAGCGUCCAUAGCGACGGCGCGGCUUGCUACGCCGAUGUCGGUUCUUCCUAUCCUGGAUGUGCACAAGCAUCCAAGGGUGGGGGUGUUCACCCGUCAAAAGGGAUCGUGAGCUGGGUUCAGAACGUUGUGAGACAGUUUGUUUGAUAUCUACUGGAGAUGUUGGAUGUCUGAAUAGAAGGACCGUCUAGUACGAGAGGAACGGCGGUUCGAAGCCACUGGUUUACCAGUUAUCUGACAAGGUACGCUGGGCAGCUACGCUUUUUGGGAUAAGUGCUGAAAGCAUCUAAGCACGAAACCCUCUCUGAAAAGAGACAUCCUGGGCUCUUAUAGAACAUGAGUUUGAUAGGACCGGUGUGUACGCACGAAGGUAACGACGUGUUCAGCAUGCGGUUACUAAUCGCCUACAUUACUUUUGUUC
rnacentral:rRNA from 1 species